GUGAGCGCACGCAACCGUGCAGUCAGAUUCCUCCGCCGACCGCGGCCCUCUCUCCUCGGGCUUUGCCUUCGCUCUCUAGCUUUUCUUCUUUCACUCCCGCUCGCCGACUCCAGCCCGCUGGGCUCACGCUCUGCCGGACACCAAUCCCGGCGGCCCUGCCCGACGGAGCUCAAGGCUAGGCCUGGCCUUGUCCGCGGAGUCCGCCCCUCGCCGCCACCGGGAUCCGCCCCCGCGCCGACACGCACUUCCGGCAGCGCCGCGGCCGGGAGGGACCGAGCGGGGAGCAAGGCCUGCGGGGAGGCGCAGGAUGGACGCGUUGGCUGUCAUGAUGUAGGACCUCCUGACCUAGAACCAUGCCCGGCGCAGGGAGAACAACGAGCUUACGGACCGGGUGCGGGGGCUGCUGUGCGAGAAAGCCUACCUGCUGGCCCGGGAGCGUUCGCCGGCCCACCUGGUGGCUUUCCCUGGACGUUUAACGGCGACUCCGCCCGGCCUCCCGACUUUUUGAUGCAGGCGUUCUCUUACAUGACUUUCUUCGAGGCUAGAUUCUCGAAAGACAUCCUGAAGGUGGCUUUCUUAAUUAGCUGCCUCACCGGCUGGCGGAGCAGUUCGUAGUCGCCUACAUCGAGAGGGAGAGCCCCGUCCUGGCUCAGUACUGGGGCUUCGUGGACGCGCUGUAGCGGGUCUUCGCCGUCGUGGGUAGGAAACAGUCGGGCCGGAUCCCCGGUGUCUGGGGAGCGGCUGCCGGCCGGGCCCGCGCGAGCCGCUUCACUCCUACAAGCCCGGCUCACUAGUUCCAAGCUGCUGGACUUUGACCCUCGCUGGGAAGCUUGAUCGCCGCCUGUUCUCGCCAAUCUCUAUGCCUUUGCACUGCCCAGCAACCCGGUCACUGCCCAGGACCUGUUAAAAGUUGAAUGGACCUCCCAGAAUCACGCCGCUGCCACCGCCGUUUCUAGAGACGGCUUUUGGCCACCUUUGAGAAUCAGGGUCAAACUUGGAAGGGCCUGCAUUUGUCACACUUCCUCGGACACUAAUUUGGAUAGUUCAGGCCCAGAGACGGCUUCCCGGGUUAGUGUGCCUGACAACACUGAAGAAAAAUUGUGACAUUUUCCUUCCCCAGAAUUACUUCGUUUUAUACAUUUCACUUCUCUUCUGAAAUCACAGCAAUGCCAGUUUGCGCCUUUUGGUCUGAGGAACGCAGGCCCUGGCCACUACCAGGAAAAAGUAUUUACUUUUAAAACUUGAAUGUAUAUCUUUACCGUAUGCCUAGUACAGUAGUGCUUGGAAGAAACAGAUUAGUAAGACAAAAUAUAUGUCUUCAAGAACACUUACGUUCUGAGAAAGAAUUCUGAAUGCAGAUUCUAAUGUCUGGUAAAAUGCUUUACAGUGUAAAGAAUGCAUAUAUGAUUCUUAUUUUAUGGCAUUUUAAACUUUCCACCCCACGGUUUUAAAGUGUUAAUAUAUGUUAAAAAUAUAUGCAAUUUAUAAAGGAGAAGGAAAGCCCAGCUUGAUUUUUGCUGCCAAAGAUGGUAUAUUUAAAAUUAAACGUAACUAAUGGCAAAAA
rnacentral:lncRNA from 1 species